rnacentral:rRNA from 1 species
UACGAGGGGUGCAAGCGUUGCUCGGAAUUAUUGGGCGUAAAGGGUAAGUAGGUGGUCUCAUUUGUCUGGGGUGAAAGCCUUGAGCUUAACUCAAGAAGUGCCCCAGAAACGGUGAGACUAGAGUCCUGGAGAGGGUCGUGGAAUUCCCGGUGUAGCGGUGAAAUGCGUAGAGAUCGGGAGGAACACCAGAGGCGAAAGCGGCGACCUGGACAGGUACUGACACUCAACUACGAAAGCGUGGGGAGCAAACAGG